CCUACGGGAGGCAGCAGUGGGGAAUAUUGGACAAUGGGGGGAACCCUGAUCCAGCGACGCCGCGUGAGUGAAGAAGUACUUCGGUAUGUAAAGCUCUAUCAGCAGGGAAGAAAAUGACGGUACCUGACUAAGAAGCUCCGGCUAACUACGUGCCAGCAGCCGCGGUAAUACGUAGGGGGCAAGCGUUAUCCGGAUUUACUGGGUGUAAAGGGAGCGUAGACGGUGCAGCAAGUCUGAUGUGAAAGGUCGGGGCCCAACCCCGGGACUGCAUUGGAAACUGUUGAACUGGAGUGCAGGAGAGGUAAGCGGAAUUGCUAGUGUAGCGGUGAAAUGCGUAGAUAUUAGGAGGAACACCAGUGGCGAAGGCGGCUUACUGGACUGUAACUGACGUUGAGGCUCGAAAGCGUGGGGAGCAAACAGGAUUAGAUACCCUGGUAGUC
rnacentral:rRNA from 1 species